CUCGCAACAAGCGUUCUGUAUUUCAUAGUAGGGGUGAGGUCUUUCCGUUUGUGAUGGCGCCCCGCCCGACGCCAGUUCCAUCACCCUCUUGGGCAUGCUAAUUGUGAUUGUUCAAUUGCAAUUGAUGCAUUUAUUAUAUCUGUAGCUGCAUUUUCAGAUUCCAGAGUACUUUAAGGUUCUGAAGAACGUAAAUUAUGUUUAUGUUCAUUGGUUAACUUUAACAAUCUCAAAGACUGUUUAAAUCACAACAUGCAGAGUUAUUCAUUAAGGCAACCGCGUACAUUAGGUGGCUUCGUUUCGGUUCUCAGGGUAUCACGAGAACAAGGUUGAUACUAUCUAACAAUAACAAGCAAGGCGGCGGGAUGAAGAUGAAAUUGAGAAUGCACUGGGAGCCAGAUUGUAGGCGCUCUGCACUAUGAGUUAUUAAGAUAGGCAUAAAUAUGCUUAUUAAUUUGCAGAAUUUGCAAGAAGGAUAAUGUAAUAAUGAAUGAUCUCAACUCUCAAGUAAUGUUGGGAACAUAAGCAUAUAGUUUUGUGGCUUUUAUAGAUUAAAUUAUCAUCUUCAUCAUCUUUCUCUUGGGGUCAUUGUUAUGCACCAUAUUUUUCCCGGUCAUUGUAGUUUUUUUCUGGUCAGGCAGUCAUGCUAAUGUCUAAGGGGAUUCUUAUUGAGCAACGACGGUUCUUUAAUGUUUUUUCUCCGAAAUGGCUGCUAAAACGCGUCUAAGGCGUGUUACUUUCUUCUUUGGCAUAAUUUACAUUGU